GGAGAGGGAAGCGCUCGUGCCCACCUUGCUCGCAGGUGCCCUUGCUGACCUGGGUGAUGGCCUUCUCCCCGCGGCUCUCGGCCCUCUGGCUGGCGGCGCGCAGCUGGCAGCCGCUCGGAUCAGUGUGGAAAUGGAUGUGGACGCGGUGCUGCUGCCUGAGAUUAGCAGGAAGCAAUUCUUUUCCCAUUUGGAGAGACCCCGGCUUUGUUGGGCCAGGAGAUGGUUUUGCAGCAGCAGAAGACUAUGAACUGGGCUUUGGGAGAUAGGAUCUCUGGUUGUAUUCUGGCUAUCCACACUCUGAAAGAGGACCGUGACAGAGAAUUUGAGUAUCCUACCAAUAUACCUACAAAAGGAUGAAAGAAGAUUUGGAGUCAAGGGAAAACAAGGGCAAUAAAAUAGAAGCUUACCACCUGCUCUCAUACAGUUGCUAGAAGAGGACUGCAUAUUUGGUUCUAAGUUUCUGGAAGAUAAAGCCAAAAUAGAAACACAACUCAUUAUAAAAUUUUGGUGUAUCCAUAAAAUAAAAACAAAUGACCUGUUUGAGAAAACUCUUUCUGAGUUUGAGCUCUAAAAGGAACUUCUCUAUGGAAUCCUUAGAAUAUGAGAAGGCUGUGAUAUAGGGGAGAAACCCCUUGACAUUCCUAUAUUGGGUUUAGGUCUAAUUUCACUCAGUAGUUUUUAAAUGUUACUCCUUGUAGACAGAUGAUGAGACGCCAAAGUACAGCUGAGUGAAAGCGGUUCCUUUGAAAACUAA
rnacentral:lncRNA from 10 species